rnacentral:misc_RNA from 1 species
UGUGUGGAAAUGAUAAGCUACAAAUGAAGCUGAGAUCUGAUGGUGGAAUAAAGGCCUUGCUGGGAAUGGUGAGAUGCGGACAUCCUGAUGUUCUCUCUCAAGUGGCACGUGGGAUUGCAAACUUUGCAAAAUGUGAGUCACGAACAUCCAUGCAAGGAAUGAAAGGUGGCAGAUCCCUCCUCAUAGAAGAUGGUGCACUUCCAUGGAUUGUACAGAAUGCUAAUAACGAAGCUGCACCAAUCAGACGCCACAGUGAGCUUGCCCUGUGCCACUUGGCACAGCAUGAAGUAAAUGCAAAGGACAUGGUUAGAUGGUUAGCGGAGGUGCACUGUGGGAGCUAGUUCGCAUCUCACGGGACUGUUCUCGAGAUGACAUAAGAAGUCUUGCUCGCCGAACUUUGAAUUCAAGCCCCACCUUCAGAUCUGAAAUGCGACGAUUACGGAUAGAGUGUUGACUAUAGGAUUAAUUUCUGGCAUCGAGAUGCUAAGGAAUCUUGCUUCACGAUUCUGCAAAGCUUCAUAAAAAAACCCAUACUAACAUCAUGCUGAAUGAAAAGCACAUUGUUUAAGUUGUAAUCCUGUCAGCAAUUUUUGUGCGAAGAGGCAAGGUGUGAUUUUCUAAUCUGUUAUAUCCGGUUUCUAUGUCGAGCUAUCAAAUUAAUAUUCAUUUCUGGACGACAAAAGAAAAGGCAGAGGAGGAAGAGAGGGAGUAAAGAAAAUUCUGGGAGAUGGUUUUGUAACUGGAGGAGCUAGGCGGAAUUCUUUGCACGUCUUAGCUUAGAUGGGAAUCAGCUGAAUUUCAGGCUUCAGUCAGCAGCUUUGUAUAUUGAUCCGUAAUAGUAACAUCUUAAUUUUAUUCUUCAAAUUUAAUCAAACCAACCCAGACAUUGAAUGGAAGUUCGCAA